rnacentral:rRNA from 1 species
AACGAGCGCUGGCGGCAUGCCUAACACAUGCAAGUCGAACGAAGCCUUCGGGCUUAGUGGCGCACGGGUGCGUAACGCGUGGGAAUCUGCCCUUUGGUUCGGAAUAACAGUUGGAAACGACUGCUAAUACCGGAUGAUGACGAAAGUCCAAAGAUUUAUCGCCAGAGGAUGAGCCCGCGUAGGAUUAGCUAGUUGGUGUGGUAAAGGCGCACCAAGGCGACGAGCCUUAGCUGGGCUGAGAGGAUGAUCAGCCACACUGGGACUGAGACACGGCCCAGACUCCUACGGGAGGUAGCAGUGGGGAAUAUUGGACAAUGGGCGAAAGCCUGUUCCAGCCAUGCCGCGUGAGUGAUGAAGCCCCUAGGGUUGUAAAGCUCUUUUCCCCGGAAUGAUAAUGCCAGUACCGGGAGAAUAAGCCCCGGCUAACUCCGUGCCAGCCGCCGCCGUAA